CUCGCCACUUUAGAACUUCUGCUUCUGCCACAAUUCCACCUUGCCAACCCGGCUCAGACGAAAUGCCUACAUCUUCCCCUUCAGCAACGGGAAUGAGGCCCAGAUGAUUGUGCUUCCACAUGCUUAGCAGGAGCAGACAAUAGGCUUUUUACAGACGGCCAUUGUGCACUGGUGCAAAGAGUGUCAGAAUGCACCUAUGUCAGAAAGGGCCCCUUGCUCUCAGCCGUGCCCUCCAUCGCUCUAGAGGUGGAAGGCACAAAGCACUGCCUCCAUCCUUGAAUUGGAGACAAGCCAUAAACAGUCUUGCCUCCAGCUCUUUAGGAAGCUGACAAACAACUCGCUUUCCACAGUCCUGUUACAGCAGACCAGGAACUUCUCAUACAAAGGCAGCUCAAAUGGCAUUUCUUCCCAGCCCUUAACUCACAUCUUUAGAACUUCUGCUUCUGCCGCAAUUCCACCUUGCCAACCCGGCUCAGACAAAAUGCCUACAUCUUCCCCUUAAGCAACUGGGCUGAGUCCCAAAUGAUUGUGCAAUCAUGUGCUUAGCAGGAGAUAGACAAUACGCUUUUCCAACCACAGUUGAGCACUGGUGGAGAGAGUGUCAGAAAGCACCUAUGUCAGAAAGGCCCCUUUCCUCUCAGCCUUGCCCUCCAUUGCUCUAGACGUGGAAUGCACAAUGCAUUGGCUCCACCCCUCAAGGGGCGGAGAGCCGCAGACCAUCUCUCUUCCAUCUCUUUAGGAAGCUGAGAACAAACUCACCUGACGUAUAGAAAGGAAUCAUGCCCCUUAGAUGCCACAAAAACCCUGGGAGUCAUGCCAAAAAGACCCUCUGCACACUCUCAAAGAACCACACAUUCAUGCCAGAACGACCCAACAGGCACACCAGAAGCACCAAGGUUGCAUGCCAAAACAACCUGUAACCACCUGCCAGACACAGUGGAACAACGAUUCUGACACUGCAGAACCAUCUCUUCAACAUGCCAGCCGCACACAACAGACAUGACGGAACCAGAUUUCAAACGUAGCACAACCACAUGCCAGACAUAUUGGUAAAACCUGUUGGAUAUGCCGCAAAUAGGUGGCAGAAACACUGAAACCACCUGCUGAGUAUGUCAGAACCGGAGGCCAGAAAUGCCACAAACACCUGUCUUACAAGCCAGAGCCACGAGCCCAAAAAGCAGGAAAGACCUGCCAGACACACCAAAAUAAACUGCCGGUGAUGCCAGAACCACUCGGAGGACAGCCAGGAAUCACCUGCUGGGCAUGCCUGAACCACCUGCUGAGCAUGCCGGAACAACCUACUCAACUCGGUGGAAUGACCUGCCAGACACGUCAAAAUCACCUGCCAGCCACGCUAGAACCACUUGGUGGAGACUCUAGAAUCACCUGUGGGCAUGCAGGAGCCACCUCUCAAACGUGCCACAACCACAUGCCUGACAAGCCGGAACCAACUCCCAAACAGACCGGAAGCACAUGCCGAACAUGCCGGAACCACCUGCAUGACUCGCUGGAACCACAUGCCAGGCACGCCAUAAUCACCUGCCAGCUAUGCCAGAACCACUUGUCGGACACUCCAGAACCACCUGCUGGGCAUGCCGCAACCAACUCUCAGACACGCCAGAACCACAUGCCUGACACGCUGGUACCACCCACCAGACAGACCGGAACCACCUGCCAGAAAUGCCUCAACCACCUGCCAAGCACACCGGAACUACCUGCUUGACACGCUGGAACCACCAGUCUCUCAUGCCAAAAGCACCUGCUGGCUACACCAGAACCACUUGCCGGACACCGUGGAAUCACCCGCCAGGCAUGCCGUAAUCACCUCUCAGAUGUACUAGAAGCACGUGCCGGAGAUGCCUGAAGCACCUGCUGAGCACGCCGGAACCACCUGCUCGACUUGCAGGAACCACCUGCCAGACACGCCAAAAUGAACUGCCGGCUAUGCCAGAACCACUUUGGGGACUCCCUGGAAUCACCUGCUGGGCAUGCCAAUACUACCUAAAAGACGUGCUGGAACCACGUGCCGGACACGCCGGAACCCUCUCCCGGACAGACCGGAACCACCUGCUGGAACCGCCUGAAGCACCUGCCGAGCACGCCGGAACCACUUGAUCGACUCACCAGAACCACCUGCCGGACAUGCCAAAAUCACCUGCCGGCUAAGCAAGAACCACGUGGAGGAGUCUCCAGGAUCAUCUGCCGGGCAUGCUGGUACCACAUCUCAGACGUGCCAGAACCAUGUGCCGGUCAUGCCAGAACCUCCUGCUGAGUAUGCCGGAACCACCUGAUCCACUCCCCAGAACCACCUGCCGGACACACCAAUAUCACCUGCUGGCUACGCCAGAACCACUUGGCGGACACUCCAGAAUCAACUGCCGGUCAUUGUGGAACCACCUCUCACACGUGUCAUAACCACAUGCCGGAGAUGGAAAAAUCACCUGCCAACUAUGCCACAACCACUUGUCGGACACUCCGGAAUCACCUGUCGGGCAUGCCAGAACCACCUGUCAGAUGUGCCUGAACCAUGUGCUGGACACGCCAGAACCACCUCCCAGAAAGACUGGGACCACCUGCCGUGCCCACUGGAAGCACCUGCCGAGCAUGCCGGAGCCACAUGCUCGACUCGCCAGAUCCACCUGCCUAACAUGGCAAAAUCACCGGCCAGCUAUACCAGAACCAGUUGCCGGACGCACCGCAAUCACCUGCUGGGCAUGCCAGCACAACCUCCCAGACGUGCCAGAAGCACGUGCUGGACACGACGG
ensembl:lncRNA